UUAUCAUUAUCCCUUUGCAUUGACUGCGUAAGAGAUUUAAUAGGUGCAUUCUAGCUAGCUAUGAUGUUAGCCUUCAUGUUUUGCAUUAGUUUGGCUUUACAUUUCCGAAGGUCAGUAUCAAUGGCGUUCUUACAACUUUAACCACUUGAACAGCAAGUGUAUUUUUUGUUUGCCUAGCAGUUUCAUAUUUUUAUUACAUAUUCAGUCAAGAUCUCAUAGGCCUAUAAUAAUAAUAAUAGUGAAUUUCUUUGGUUUAUGUAAAUCUCAACCAGCAGUGUGUUUACCAGUGUGUGGACAACUUACGGCUUUGUCUAGACUAUUAUUAAAAUGAUUGAUUGAGCGAUCAGCUUGGAAGGAAAAUAACAUUAGAAUACACAGCUUUGUAAUCUUCUUAAAGAGUUCCCUAAUGAAAGAGCUUAAACUUGGUUAUGUGUCUUUCUCAGAGCAGUGCUGCUUGUCUUGCCGUGUGUGGACACCAAGUCAUCAGUCAUGACUCGGGCUGGCCCAGGUGCUCUGUUAGCCCUCAUGGGAAGAUAGUCACUAAAAAUACAUCAGCCCUAAGCUGCUUAUAGCAUCCAGGAAUGAGCUCACUGUAGCAGCUCAGAGUUGCUUUGCCAAUAAAUGCAGCAUCUCUUCACAUCCGAGGAGAAGCACUACAUGCACCACAUGUGGCUCUGCCCUCCUCGGACUCUAUAGUCCUGGUGUAGUGAGUUGUAUCCGAGUGCUGUGUGGUGUUUUCCCCACCCACUAGUGUAUAAUCUGCAUCAUCUGGUAGAAGACCUCACCAUGCCCAACCUGAGCUCCCUGGGCAAGCUGUGUGGCUCCAGCCACAGCGAUGACAUCAUUAUUCAGGACCAGGUCAAGCGCAAGAACUCUGUGCGCCGCAUGUCUAUCAUUGAGGAUGGGAAUGUGGCCGAAGUGCUCUACCUCAUUCCCAAACAGUCAAUGAUGGAGCAACUGCCCUUCCUUGACCCUAGCGAGUAUGUGAUCCUGGAGAAGAUGGCACCUCCUCACAUAAGAUCCGUGGCCCAUCCUCAGGAAGCACACCGGCCCCCGGAGAAAGUGGUCAUCCAGUGUUACAAAUGCGGGGAGCCAUGCAAGGGGGAGGUGCUGCGCGUGCAGAGCAAGCAUUUCCACAUCAAAUGCUUCACCUGCAAAGUGUGUGGCUGCGACCUGGCCCAAGGUGGUUUCUUCAUGAAGAACGGUGAGUAUCUGUGCACGGUGGACUACCAAAGGCUGCAUGGAACACGCUGCCAUGGCUGUGGGAACUUUGUUGAAGGAGAGGUGGUGACGGCGCUCGGGAAGACCUACCACCCCACCUGCUUCGUCUGCACCAUCUGCAAACGGCCAUUUCCUGCUGGAGACCGUGUCACCUUCAAUGGAAAGGACUGUCUCUGCCAGAGCUGCAUCCAGCCAAUGUCUCCUCCUCCCAAAGACAUCAGUGCUUCCAGCAACUGUGCAGGCUGUGGCAGGGACAUUAAAAAUGGACAGGCUCUGCUAGCUUUGGACAGACAGUGGCAUCUCGGCUGCUUCAAGUGCAAGGCCUGCGGCAAAGUGCUGAGUGGCGAGUACAUCAGCAAGGAUGGUGCACCAUACUGCGAGAGAGACUACCAGAUCCACUUUGGUGUGCAGUGUGAAGCCUGUCAUCAGUAUAUAACAGGGAGGGUUCUGGAGGCAGGCGAUAAACACUACCACCCCAGCUGUGCACGAUGCAGCCGGUGCAACCAGAUGUUCACAGAGGGGGAGGAGAUGUACCUGCAAGGCUCUACAGUGUGGCAUCCAGACUGUAAGAGCAACAUCAAAGUAGAAGAGAAGUACAGGGAAGCAGGACAGCGACCUGGCAGAAAGCCCCGUCCUUUUGAUAUCUUUUUGCCCCUGUCUAAGUGUGAGUCUCAGUGUAAGACGAAGGGCCAGGGUGGCUCUGCUCGAGGCGUGCGUCCCCUGCGCAGGACGGAGCUUCUCCCUCCCUCUGUAACCUCACUGCACCAAUCAGAAAGGCAGCCCACAAGGUCUUCGUCGGAGAGUAUCUGUUCUCGGCCGGGUUCCAGCAUCCCUGGCUCUCCUGGUCACACCAUCUAUGCAAAAGUAGACAAUGAGAUCAUUGAUUACAAGGACCUAGCAGCCAUCCCCCGAGUCAAGGCCAUUUAUGACAUAGAGCGUCCAGACAUGAUAUCCUACGAGUCUCUGCACUCCACCUCCUCUACCCUGGAGAGACAGGGCAGACAAAGCCCUGGAGAGUGCCAGACUACUACAGGUGACCAAUCCCCCAUCAGAGGCCAUAUUAAAACCAUGCCACAAGACCCUUCCCCCAUGUCAGCUGAGACUUCACCAAGAACACUGUCUCCUACCCCAUCUGCUGAGGGCUGUUAUGACAUUCGAGAACGAAUCAUGCAACGAUCCACCAGCCAGGGCUCCAUCGGCUCCCCGAUGUACAGCCGACACAACUACACACCUACACUGUCUAAGACACCGCAGCACUUCCACAGACCAGGAAUGCUGAAGCUCUGCUCCUCUUUGCGCUCUAGCAACAGUGACAACCGUCCUACUUCCCCUUUCCGACAUCACUUCCUACCCCAUAACAAAGAUUCUUUCUGCAUAGGCACUGAGCCGUCGAGUGGCCGGAGUUCUCCCUUGUCCUCUCGCUCGGCCACCCCGACCCUCUGUCUGACCCCUAAACAUUUCCACAUCCCAGACCAAGGCAUGAACAUGUACAGAAAGCCACCAAUCUACAAACAACAUGCUGCCCUCGCAGCCCAAAGCAAGUUUGCUGGCGACAUCAUCAAAUCUUCCAAGUUCCCUGCUGCUCAAGCUCCCCGGCCGGAUGAAACAGCAAAGAUUGAGACUGACUACUGGCCCUGCCCUCCCUCCCUUGCAGCCCUAGGUUCAGAUAUGAGGAGUCGCUCACGAGAUGAAGAGGAGGAGGAACAAUUAAAACGAAGACAACUCCAAGAAGAUCAUCUUAGCAAGAUCCAGUCUGGUCUUGGAAAGCUCAUUUUGAAGGAGGAGAUGGAGAAGGAAAUGAACAGAGAGAGAUAUGCUCGCAGUGUGGCAGCCCAGCGGUACGAGCCUCAGCACUCCAACUUCACCGCAGAUCCCAACUCUCCCACGUCUAAAACCUCUUCACUGCCAGGAUAUGGACGCAACGGCCUUCUUCGGUCAACAGAAUUCUCUCAGUAUAACAGUUACGGGGAUGUGUGUGGAGGGCAGAGAGAUUUCAAGGUACGUGAAUGAUACAGACUAUAACCUGAUCAGCUGCACUGAGCAUGAGCAUCAGCCAUCAUGUACAUGAGAAUGUGGACUCAUGCUCCAUGUGACACCCUGCUACGCUUGUGCCUGAGUUACAAACAGCUCAGGCAAGGGGGGGAGCAUGGACAAGGGAUUUCAUCAUUACAUACGCACAUCCUGAGAAGUUUGUACAUAGCCAUAGUUAGAUUAAAGGAGUAACCGUUAUCCCCAUGGGUAGGGUAGCUAAAGUCUUACUCCCUCCUCAUAGUAUCAGAUAAAGUAAAGUAGGUGUUUGUCUUUAGUUGUGAAGUCUUUCCCAUGGUUCCUUUUCCUACCAAUCCUCUUUUUGUUUCUUUUUCAUUUACAUUGCAUGUAUGUGUUCUGUUCUAUAGCUCGUCCACGAUGGCCAGGUUCCCCUAACCAGAAUGGACAGGGGAAUGUCAAUGCCUAACAUGUUGGACCAUAAAGCAAGUAUCCCAUGUGUUUUUGUUUGUUUUGUUUUGCUUUUGUGAGAAUUACAUUUCUCCUCUCUCUCUGAUUUAGAUGGUGUUCCUUCUUGUUCUGUUAACAUCCACCCCCCUAACACCCAGAUUAUUCGUUAGAGUAAAGUAGGUUAUCUUGGCACAGCCUCACAGGUUAUAGGCAGUGAGAUGAAGGGAGAAGACUAGAGCCUUCCAGUGCUGUGAAAUGAUGUAAUGAUAUGCUUUGCUGUGUCUGAGCUGUACACAUUUUUCCAGAUCAUUGAUCCCCACCUUUCCUAAAUCUGGCUGAAGAGGCUUAAGAGCUGCAUGUUCUUGGUUUCUUUAAAGGUGCUGCUAUAGUCCCCACAAUCUUAACAUGAUCAUUCAUUGUUCCAUAUUUUAUUGUGUUAAUUAAAGGAAUAAUAUUCCUAGUAGAAAAGAUAUAUGUCCUCCAUCCAGUGUUAAAAUUGGAAUGACAUAGCAGAUUCACUUCGUUUUUAUUUGGACAUGAUGAUUUUAAUAACAUCUACACAUCAUUUUAUCUUAAUUUGGCCAUUUUCACUUUAUGUCCUCUUCUCACUUUGUGAUUUUAUUUUGGAAGUGAUGUGACACGCUGAAAAUAUUUUUCUUUUAAAGGUAUUCACACAGAAUUCACAAAAAAUGUUUAUGCCCCAGUCUGCUUUUACCCUUUUCUCUCCCUUUUCUCCCCGAUCUCUGUGCAGUUUAGCAUUUUGUCUGUUUUCGUCUCUGUGUGUGACUGAAUGGUUGUGUUCUCAGCAUGUGCAUUUGUCCAGCUUUGCUUUUCAGUAAUUCAUUGUCUUUGGCAAAUGUCUUGCAUUGCAUUCUCCAUAACAAGACAAUCCCUCCUUUUGUAAAGGUGUAUCCCUAUGAAAUGCUCACUGUCACCAACAGAGGGCGUACUAAGCUCCCAAAGGACGUGGACAGGACGAGACUGGAGCGUCACCUGGCCCCUGAAGUAUUCUUUGAUGUCUUUGGAAUGGAGAUCCAAGAGUUUGACAAACUUCC